CAGGGAGACAACAAAAUGUUUAAUAUUAUUAUUUUGUCACCUUAGGUCGAUCGGUAUCUCACGUUCUUAAUUUAUUAAGAAUUUUAUUUCCUAAGUUUUUCUAGGUCACACCCAUUAUUUUCCUGGGCCAUUAGCUCAGGUGGUUAGAGCGCACCCCUGAUAAGGGUGAGGUCCCUGGUUCAAGUCCAGGAUGGCCCAUAUCUCUAUGUUGGGGGUAUAGCUCAGUUGGUAGAGCGCCUGCUUUGCAAGCAGGAUGUCAGCGGUUCGAGUCCGCUUACCUCCACUGAUUACCACCUCUUCCAUAAUUGGUAGAAAGGAGAUUUUUUGAGUUGUGAUCAAAUUCUGAACGAUUUCAGCUUCCUAAUGUAAUCAUUAAGAUGCUGAACUCAUUGAAUUAAUUUCAUUGUUUUCAGAGAACCUUGACAACUGCAUAGAUUAUUUUUAAAGACAAUAAGCAUCUUUAAUGAUGCAGAUUUAUUAUUUGUGCGAAUGCAUUAAUAACAAUUCUAUUAAGCUGAUGCUUCAAUUUUGAAGUUAUU
rnacentral:tRNA from 1 species